GAUGAACGCUGGCGGCGUGCUUAACACAUGCAAGUCGAACGAAGCAUUUAAGACAGAUUUCUUCGGUUUGAAGUCUUUUAUGACUGAGUGGCGGACGGGUGAGUAACGCGUGGGUAACCUGCCUCAUACAGGGGGAUAGCAGCUGGAAACGGCUGUUAAUACCGCAUAAGCGCACAGUACCACAUGGUACAGUGUGAAAAACUCCGGUGGUAUGAGAUGGACCCGCGUCUGAUUAGCGUGUUGGCGGGGUAACGGCCCACCAAGGCGACGAGCAGUAGCCGACCUGAGAGGGUGACCGGCCACAUUGGGACUGAGACACGGCCCAGACGCCUACGGGAGGCAGCAGUGGGGAAUAUUGCACAAUGGAGGAAACUCUGAUGCAGCGACGCCGCGUGAGUGAAGAAGUAGUUGACUAUGUAAAGCUCUAUCAGCAGGGAAGAUAGUGACGGUACCUGAAGAAGAAGCUCCGGCUAAAUACGUG
rnacentral:rRNA from 1 species